rnacentral:rRNA from 1 species
GACGAACGCUGGCGGCGUGCUUAACACAUGCAAGUCGAACGGAAAGGCCCUGCUUUUGUGGGGUGCUCGAGUGGCGAACGGGUGAGUAACACGUGAGUAAACUGCCCUUGACUUUGGGAUAACUUCAGGAAACUGGGGCUCAUACCGGAUAGGAGCUCCUGCUGCAUGGUGGGGGUUGGAAAGUUUCGGCGGUUGGGGAUGGACUCGCGGCUUAUCAGCUUGUUGGUGGGGUAGUGGCUUACCAAGGUUUUGACGGGUAGCCGGCCUGAGAGGGGGACCGGCCACAUUGGGACUGAGAUACGGCCCAGACUCCUACGGGAGGCAGCAGUGGGGAAUAUUGCACAAUGGGCGGAAGCCUGAUGCAGCAACGCCGCGUGCGGGAUGACGGCCUUCGGGUUGUAAACCGCUUUCGCCUGUGACGAGGCGUGAGUGACGGUAAUGGGUAAAGAAGCACCGGCUAACUACGUG